rnacentral:rRNA from 1 species
GGCGAACGGGUGAGUAAUACGUGAGAAUUUGCCUUUAGGAAGAGGAUAACAAUUAGAAAUAGUUACUAAAACUCUAUAUUACUGAAAGGUGAAAAAAGAAAUUUGCCUAAAGAGAAGCUCACGCCUGAUUAGCUAGUUGGUAGGGUAAAAGCCUACCAAGGCGAUGAUCAGUAGUUGAUCUGAGAGGAUGAUCAGCCACAUUGGAACUGAGAUACGGUCCAAACUCC